rnacentral:rRNA from 2 species
UCGCAGCACUUUUUAUCGUGCUGACUAUGCAGUCGACGAUGAAACUUUCGGGGUGGAUUAGUGGCGAACGGGGAGAAAACCUGGGCAAUCUGCCCUUCACUCUGGGAAAGCCCUGGAAACGGGGUCUAAUACCGGAUAACACUCUGUCCCGCAUGGGACGGGGUUAAAAGCUCCGGCGGUGAAGGAUGAGCCCGCGGCCUAUCAGCUUGUUGGUGGGGUAAUGGCCUACCAAGGCGACGACCGGUAGCCGGCCUGAGAGGGCGACCGGCCACACUGGGACUGAAACACGGCCCAGACUCCUACGGGAGGCAGCAGUGGGGAAUAUUGCACAAUGGGCGAAAGCCUGAUGCAGCGACGCCGCGUGAGGGAUGACGGCCUUCGGGUUGUAAACCUCUUUCAGCAAGGAAGAAGCGAAAGUGACGGUACCUGCAGAAGAAGCGCCGGCUAACUACGUGCCAGCAGCCGCGGUAAUACGUAAGGCGCAAGCGUUGUCCGGAAUUAUUGGGCGUAAAGAGCUCGUACGCGGCUUGUCACGUCGGAUGUGAAAGCCCGGGGCUUAACCCCGGGUCUGCAUUCGAUACGGGCUAGCUAGAGUGUGGUAUGGGAGAUCGGAAUUCCUGGUGUAGCGGUGAAAUGCGCAGAUAUCUGAGGAACACCGGUGGCGAAGGCGGAUCUCUGGGCCAUUUCUGACGCUGAGGACCAAAGCGUGGGGAGCGAACAGGAUUAAUUCCCUGGUAGUCCACGCCUUAACCUUGGGAACUAGGUGUGGCGACUUUCCCGUCUUCGGUGCCGCACUAAUCUUAGUUCCCCGCCUGGGGAGUACGGCCGCAAGCUUAAAUUAAAGUAUUGAUUGGGCCCCUCAUAAUCGUGGUGUCUUGUGUUUUAUUUCUAUGUAUCUCUGAUGUACCUUACCAAGUUUGCAUUAUACCCGCAAGUCAUCUGAGAUUGGUGCCCCCUUUGUUAUCUGUUAUCAGUUUGUUCUUGCCUUUCCUCACUCCGGCCUUAAAUGUUAGUUUAUUUCCGCCUACUAUGCCACCCCUCGUUUCUUGUUCCGUAUUGUCUUUCUGGUUGUAUGGUUUCUUCUUUUAUACCGUCCGGGUUUUUUCCUAUGUAUUUUGA